ACCAGCAUGAGUUGCCACAUGCCCUGCUCGGGGGCGCUGGGGGGGUCCAUGCCGUAGGCGCCGAACGAGAAGGGGCAGCAGAGGAAGGAGAAGGUGAAGCUGAAGAGCAAGACUCUGAAGCAGUUGGAGGAAGUGCAGUGAAUGAGGAAAUUUUCAAGAAAACAGGUUUCUGUGCGCACUUCUGCCUGUCUGGGAGUACAAAUUGGUCAGUGGCUGUGGAGGGCUGCUCUCGUGACAGGAGUUAAUGAUCAUUCCCCAUAAAAUUGCAUUCAGUGCCUCAUCAAAAACUUGGGAGUCUGUGUGUUGGUUUUGAAAAAAACCUUCCAGCUCUGCCUAUAAUGCUACUACCAUUAAUACUACCACAUACCACUAUUACCAAGUUGCCAUCAAAGAAUACAAUACUGUAAUCUUUUCUGUAACCAUUGCGUCUGAUUUGGGGUUUAUGAGACUGAUUCCAAACUCACUGAAGACCAGAGAAAGGACUCCAGUGUUUCUUCUGGCUUUGGCUCAAGCAUUUGUAAGAAUCAGGUCUCCGAAAAUGUCAAAAUAGAAGACUUUAAUAGGUUACAAACAUUUGGCUUUUCAAAGGUAGUGCAGGAAUACUUUCCAGAAUCAAACCAGAAUCACGGGUAUGUUGAAGAUCUAAUUGCUGAUUUUUGUGUCAGUGCUCCCAGAUUCUGGUUCUGGAUUUGGGCCGAAGAGCCUCAAGAUCAACAGCAGGCAGGAAUUCUUUAAGAUUCGUUACAGCUGUGAGUUAUGUUGGUACUUAAUUUCUGUAUAGGAAAGCUUUAAAAAAAAUAUCUCUGAUAUAUGAUCUAAAGCAACAUAGUUUUUUGUAUUAAUAUUUUAGUACUUUAUGUUGAUCUUAGCUCUCCAGACUCAGCAGUCAUUCUUUUGAACCUAUAUAGACCUCAUUAGAAAAAAAGGAAUGAAUCAGCAUUGCUGGAGUUUGUGUGUUACAAGUUCAAAAUAUUUCACACUUGAGACAAUGCCUGUUACUUACUUCGUGUUCACGUGAUGCCACUCAUGGUGGUUUCCUCGUCUGCGACUUAGGCCUUCAAACACUACAGAGCUGCAAAAAUAGCUGGUAUUUAGAUUUCUGUAACUUCUUUCAGGAAGAAAGUAAAGGAGUUGGAUCUGCUGGCCCGAGUGCUGGAAACAGGAAGAGAUGUUUACCUGAAAUUAAAUUAAAUAUAACAAA